UGGAGGACUGAGAAGGUUAAGCAGCUUGUGUGGUGCUGCUACAACUGGUUAUAGCCUCCAAGAAUAACUAACAAACCACAACAUGUACUGGCUCUGACAUAAACAGAGCUGGUUUGUGUGUGGUUUGUGAACAAAAA